UACGUAGGGGGCUAGCGUUGUCCGGAAUCAUUGGGCGUAAAGCGCGCGUAGGCGGCCCGGUAAGUCCGCUGUGAAAGUCCAGGGCUCAACCCUGGAAAGCCGGUGGAUACUGCCGGGCUAGAGUCCGGAAGAGGCGAGUGGAACUCCUGGUGUAGCGGUGGAAUGCGCAGAUAUCAGGAAGAACACCAACGGCGAAGGCAGCUCGCUGGGCCGAUACUGACGCUGAGGAGCGAAAGCCAGGGGAGCGAACGGG
rnacentral:rRNA from 1 species